rnacentral:rRNA from 1 species
UUGACCUCAAAUCAGGUAGGACUACCCGCUGAACUUAAGCAUAUCAAUAAGCGGAGGAAAAGAAACUAACAAGGAUUCCCCUAGUAACUGCGAGUGAAGCGGGAAAAGCUCAAAUUUAAAAUCUGGCGGUCUUUGGCCGUCCGAGUUGUAAUUUAGAGAAGUGUUAUCCGCGCUGGACCGUGUACAAGUCUCCUGGAACGGAGCGUCAUAGAGGGUGAGAAUCCCGUCUUUGACACGGACCACCAGUGCUUUGUGAUGCGCUCUCGAAGAGUCGAGUUGUUUGGGAAUGCAGCUCAAAAUGGGUGGUAAAUUCCAUCUAAAGCUAAAUAUUGGCGAGAGACCGAUAGCGAACAAGUACCGUGAGGGAAAGAUGAAAAGAACUUUGGAAAGAGAGUUAAACAGUACGUGAAAUUGUUGAAAGGGAAACGCUUGAAGUCAGUCGCGUUGUCCGGGGAUCAACCUUGCAUUCGUGCUUGGCGUACUUCCCGGUCGACGGGUCAGCAUCAAUUUUGACCGCUGGAUAAAGGUCAGGGGAAUGUGGCAUCCUCGGAUGUGUUAUAACCUCUGGUCGCAUACAGCGGUUGGGAUUGAGGAACUCAGCA